rnacentral:rRNA from 1 species
GACGAACGCUGGCGGCGUGCCUAAUACAUGCAAGUAGGACGCAGUUGCGAACUGGUGAGUAACGCGUUGGUAACUACCUAUUAGAGGGGGAGAACUAUUGGAAACGAUAGCUAAUACCGCAUAUUAGUAGAUGGACUUUCUUGGUAUUAGCUAGUAGGUAGGGUAAUGGCCUACUUAGGCAACGAUACAUAGCCGGGCUGGGAGGGUGAUCGGCGAGACUGGUACUGAUAGACGGCCCAGACGCCUACGGGAGGCAGCAGUAGGGAAUCUUCGGGAAUGGGGGGAACGCUGACAGGGCAAAGCCGCGUGAGUGAAGAGGGUUUUCGGAUCGUAAAGCUCUGUAGUUAAGGAAGCGGUACUUAGCCAGAAAGGGACGGCUAACUACGUGCCAGCAGCCGCGGUAAUAC